rnacentral:rRNA from 1 species
GGUGAGUAACACGUGGGUAACCUGCCUGUAAGACUGGGAUAACUCCGGGAAACCGGAGCUAAUACCGGAUAGUUCCUUGAACCGCAUGGUUCAAGGAUGAAAGACGGUUUCGGCUGUCACUUACAGAUGGACCCGCGGCGCAUUAGCUAGUUGGUGAGGUAACGGCUCACCAAGGCGACGAUGCGUAGCCGACCUGAGAGGGUGAUCGGCCACACUGGGACUGAGACACGGCCCAGACUCCUACGGGAGGCAGCAGUAGGGAAUCUUCCGCAAUGGACGAAAGUCUGACGGAGCAACGCCGCGUGAGUGAUGAAGGUUUUCGGAUCGUAAAGCUCUGUUGUUAGGGAAGAACAAGUGCAAGAGUAACUGCUUGCACCUUGACGGUACCUAACCAGAAAGCCACGGCUAACUACGUGCCAGCAGCCGCGGUAAUACGUAGGUGGCAAGCGUUGUCCGGAAUUAUUGGGCGUAAAGGGCUCGCAGGCGGUUUCUUAAGUCUGAUGUGAAAGCCCCCGGCUCAACCGGGGAGGGUCAUUGGAAACUGGGAAACUUGAGUGCAGAAGAGGAGAGUGGAAUUCCACGUGUAGCGGUGAAAUGCGUAGAGAUGUGGAGGAACACCAGUGGCGAAGGCGACUCUCUGGUCUGUAACUGACGCUGAGGAGCGAAAGCGUGGGGAGCGAACAGGAUUAGAUACCCUGGUAGUCCACGCCGUAAACGAUGAGUGCUAAGUGUUAGGGGGUUUCCGCCCCUUAGUGCUGCAGCUAACGCAUUAAGCACUCCGCCUGGGGAGUACGGUCGCAAGACUGAAACUCAAAGGAAUUGACGGGGGCCCGCACAAGCGGUGGAGCAUGUGGUUUAAUUCGAAGCAACGCGAAGAACCUUACCAGGUCUUGACAUCCUCUGACAACCCUAGAGAUAGGGCUUUCCCUUCGGGGACAGAGUGACAGGUGGUGCAUGGUUGUCGUCAGCUCGUGUCGUGAGAUGUUGGGUUAAGUCCCGCAACGAGCGCAACCCUUGAUCUUAGUUGCCAGCAUUCAGUUGGGCACUCUAAGGUGACUGCCGGUGACAAACCGGAGGAAGGUGGGGAUGACGUCAAAUCAUCAUGCCCCUUAUGACCUGGGCUACACACGUGCUACAAUGGACAGAACAAAGGGCUGCGAGACCGCAAGGUUUAGCCAAUCCCACAAAUCUGUUCUCAGUUCGGAUCGCAGUCUGCAACUCGAACUGCG